AUUGAAUCGUAUAACAGUUAAAAUACCUAGGUUGCUAGCUUGAUCUGAAGUUGAUAUAGGUAGAGAUAUAAUGUUCGUUGUGUGCUGUGUUCUUAAUAACGAUAGAUUUGAAUUAUGACGUGAUUCUAGCUAUUAAAACGGCAGACCGCUGGGGGGGGGGGGCUACACUAACUUGAGAAAAAAACAUGUAACUCAGCUUCACGUAAAUCAGGCAUCAAUGUCAGAUUCACUGUGAUAUCCUAUUUACUCACCUGCAUGUAAGGUUGGAGGAUUUUGGGCCCGGGAUGCGUUCUGAAUGGCACGCUAAGCCCUAUGGGCCCUGGUCUAAAAUAGUGUACUAUAUAGGGAACAGGGCCCUGGUCUAAAGUAGUGCACUAUAUAGGGAAUAGGGCCCUGGUCUAAAAUAAUGUACUAUAUAGGGCCCUGGUCUAAAAUUGUGUACUAUAUAGGAAAUAGGGCCCUGGUCUAAAAUAGUGUACUAUAUAGGGAUUAGGGCCCUGGUCUAAAAUAGUGUACUAUAUAGGGAAUAGGGCCCUGGUCUAAAAUAGUGUACUAUAUAGGGCCCUGGUCUAAAGUAGUGUACUAUAUAGGGAAUAGGGUGUCAUUUGGAACAGAGCUCCAGUGUAAAUAGAUAUGUUUGUGCUGGCUGAGUUGCAUUAGGCCCUGUGAUUUGGUGUGUGUCCCCCCCGGUGUGUAUGUAUGCUAGGGUUUGCAUGGUGUUCCUAUUGCCCUACAGUCACGCAGUAUCCUUUUGCCAAACACCCGGAAUUAUUGUUGGGAGAGGGAGUGAGAGAGUCAGGGUGCGAGAGUGCCAUCAUUUAAGUCUUAGAAAAUUGAACCAAGAUAUUAUUUUUAAGCAAUAAGGUCCCGAGGGGGGUUGUGGUAUAUGGCCAAUAUACCACGGUUAAGGGCUUUUCUUAUGCACGACACAAUGCGGAGUGCCUGGAAACAGCCCUUAGCCGUGUUAUAUUGCCCAUAUACCACAAACCCCCAAGGUGCCUUAUUGCUAUUAUAAACUAGGUGGUUCGAGCCCUGAAUGCUGAUUGACCCGACCAUAUGGGGUAUAUCAGACCGGAUACAACGGUUAUGACAACAUGUAUUUUUACUGCUCUAAUUACAUUGGUAACCAGUUUAUAAUAGAGCCCGAGGUGUGGUGUAUAUGGCCAAUAUACCACGGCUAAGGGCUGUGUCCAGGCACUCAGCGUUGCAUCGUACCGGGUACCAUUUGUGAUGGCCACACGUACCGGGUACCAUUUGUGAUGGCCACACGUACCGGGUACCAUUUGUGAUGGCCACACGUACCGGGUACCAUUUGUGAUGGCCACACGUACCGGGUACCAUUUGUGAUGGCCACACGUACCGGGUAUUGAUAUCUAUUAUUCACUGUCGCAUUAGAAAAGUGUACAGCUCCCCUUAUUCUUCUCAUAAGGUGCAUUUUAAAUGACACUUUGUUCCUCUUAGUGCACUCGUUUCGCCACCUAGGGAGCCUCUGGCCAGAGGUAGAGGCCACUCGUUUCGCCACCUAGGGAUACUCUGGCCAGAGGUAGAGGCCACUCGUUUCGCCGCCUAGGGAGUCUCUGGCCAGAGGUAGAGGCCACUCGUUUCGCCGCCUAGGGAGUCUCUGGCCAGAGGUAGAGGCCACUCGUUUCGCCGCCUAGGGAGUCUCUGGCCAGAGGUAGAGGCCACUCGUUUCGCCGCCUAGGGAGUCUCUGGCCAGAGGUAGAGGCCACUCGUUUCGCCACCUAGGGAGUCUCUGGCCAGAGGUAGAGGCACUAUAUCAGACAAGGUGUCAUGCAUCUAACGACAACCAGGGUUUGGCAAGGGAUAAGUGUUUUUUUAUUUUAUUUUUUAGACCGUGACGAACCUAACCGCAACAGAAAUUAAGUUCAGAUGUAUUUGCACAGACACUUCAUGCACACAUGCAUACAACGCCAGCAGACUGCACACGGCUCACACGGAUGAGUGCUACACAAGGAGAAUCAACUUCCAUUAUCCACCUUGUUGAAGGAACGUAAUUGCAUGUUUUCUUUCUGUGCUAUAUUGGGUUUUCAAUGCGGUAUGUUCACUCAAUGUUUUGCCACUUCCUUAUCGGCACUAUUGAGAUUAUGUGCUUCGAUUUUUAUUUUUAAGAAUACACCUACCCACAAUGCAUCACAUUCACAGCAUCCUUUAAAAUCUCUAUUUUUUAUUUAUUAUUUUUUUUAGGAGAAAAUGACAUUUUAAGUUUUGACAUUUUUUUCUUGAGGAAGUGCAGGGGUGAGUACUGUCUGGUAAUAUGCUCAGUUGAAAAAUAUACAGGAUAAAAACAUUAUAGUGAUUUCAUGUGGAGAGUUGGAAAAUAAACACAUUCGUUAGAUUAGCAUUGAAAUCGUGACCAUCAACUGGAUGGAAAAACGUUUCAAAUUCAUAGAAUGAAAAUGUAAAAGUUGUUUGCUGAGCAGUUAGCUGAAAUCCAUUGUUUAUUUCCCACUUUGUUGGUGAACUGCUUACAUUCACUUUGUCAUUUUCAAAUUAAAAAAAAAAAUAAAAAUCAAACUCUUCCACAUGUCAAUUAUUACGUUGUCUUUUAACCUUUUUUUGUUUUAUCUUCAACCUAGGUAUUAUGGAAGCCUUUUCUCCUUUCUGCUACAUGACUGAAAAUAUGGUUAGAUUGAUAUGCCCUUAAGACACAGAUCUAGGAUCAGCUUGCCCUCCUUUAAAUCCUGACCUGUAACAUUUUAAUGGGGCAAAAGCAAAACUGAUCAUAGAUCAGUCUCUGGGUUGAGUGGAGCCUAAACAGUUUAGUGGUGACAGUUUGACUGACCGGCACUGUGUGAGGUAGCGAUAGAUGUACAAUUUGUAUGUCCUCAUCAGUCACAGCUUGUUCUGUGGAUCCACUGUUUCCCCUGGUUGAGCAGAACCAAACUGGUUUGAGGUAAACAAAAUCAGAAUUUACAGAGCUGUUUUUAUUUCAAACGUAAUGCCUAAACUUUCAUUUUGGAAGGACAUCUGUAACUCAUCUUUAAAAAAAAAUAUAUAUAUAUAUAUAUAUAUAUAUUUUACUUGAUAUGCUAGCUAUGAGGACCCUAAUCAUUGCACAUGUUUAUAUAGAAAAUCAUCCCCUAUGGUUAUAUUGUCCUUCCUGACGUGAUGUCUCGGUAGGUUGACCCUGUGAGGAUGCGGGCCAUGACUUUGUACAAUGUCAUAGCUUGUUAUUAUGUUCAAUCUGCAAAAUUGUGUUUUUUCAUGGUCUGCAAAAUGGUGAUUUUUCAUGGUCUGCAAAAAUGGUGAUUUUUCAUGGUCUGCAAAAAUGGUGAUUUUUCAUGGUCUGCAAAAAUGGUGAUUUUUCAUGGUCUGCAAAAAUUGUGAUUUUUCAUGGUCUGCAAUGGUUACGGACACGUUGCCCUUUGGUUGACAUGCAAAAUGUAUUGACGUUGGUGAGAGACUAAGCUUGUCAUUGAUCUAACAUGGACAGUAAGUAACAGUAAUAGGCUAUUAUAGGAAUCUAUGCACUUUGGUCCUCUAAAGGGAAAUGGUUGUCCACAGAACAAGUGUUCCAAACUGACAUUUUGAGACUAAAUAAAUCUUGGAAAACAUGAAAAAAUUUGCUAAAGAACUUUUGACUCUACAUCACUAACAAGUGGGAGGAGCAUUUAUAAAAUCAGAAGUCCUCUCCUUGUUUUUUUUUCUCUCGACUUCUGCGUGCAGUCUACCAACAGACUUCCAGAAAAGUAUAAUAAAAAUAAAAACACAAAAUAAACAAAUAUAUUUAUAUUUAUGAAGAAAAACAAGUGCCAAUCCUGACCAAUUAAAGACUUGAGGGUGAUUUACAAGUAACUUUUGACUUGAUUCAUUUAAUUUUCUUAAUAUUUCCUUGAAUGUGCACACGUUUUGUGCAAAAACAUUGCUGCUCUAUUUUCCUCGUCUUAUAGUUCCAUGAUGUGGUGUCUCUGAAAGUGGCAUUCUCUACUGCUUUUGCACUGUGGGAUUGGGUCAGAACAGUCAUUUUAAAUCGGCAAAAAAAAUAACUAAUUUAUUCCAUCAUGCUGAUCCGUCUAACUAAAUAUUGAUGCUCUCUUUCUUUUUUGUACAGUAUAAUGCAUUGUUGAUUUCACUGUGCAGACCUCACACUGCAGCUGGGGGACAGACAGCCUAGACAUUCGUUAGAAAGAUGCAGGGCCAUCAAGUGUAAUUUUAGCCUGAGGCAAAGACUGCACUGCACAUUAUUAGGGCCCUGAUUUUUUCCUAGUCAGGUCACAUGGUCUGGAAAAGCUCCCGGCCCUGUUUAUCAGGUCAGUUAUCGUAUCAGGCCAAUACAGGGCCACGUUCAGUAGCCAAACGUUGCAAAUGGAAAUGCCACAAAUGGAGAGCCAACGUUGUUCCAUAUUUAACAUGUCAUGUUUGUUUUUUUACAUAGAAAUAUUUCUAUCUGAACGUUUGAAAAAUGUUGCGUUCUUGCUGAACGUGCCCCGAGGUUUCUCCACCUAAACUACCAUGUUUGCACAUAAUGAGUCAAACCCAUCUUAUCACAAAGAACUAAACAGCCAAUUCAAAAUGGACACUAACCGAAGUUUAAAUAAAAAAAAUAAAAAAAUGUAAAAAAUUUUCUUUCUUGAUUUUGAGCAGCUAUACCAUUACAUGGAUAUGGAUGGUUCUAGAAUGUUUCAGUGGCAUAAUCUUCUUGGCUGUCCAGACCCAGUCAAUCAACCAAAACAACCAAUCACUUGUCCUGAGACUUCUCUCAGCUAUUUCUUGAUUUAGCACAAGGACUCAGAGACACUUCUCUUGAGAUGGGAAGCUAAAUGGAAGCUACGUUAUUGGCUGAGAAUGAACAACCUAACAAGUAAUGCAAUAAAUAUUCUCCAAAAGUCGGCCAUCCCAAGAGGUUUAACCUGCGUCCCGAAGUGCACCCUAUUCCCUAUUUAAUGAACAACUUUUGACCAGGAGUCCAUGAAGUUCUGGUCAAAAAAUAGUGCACAAUAUACCCCCACAGUGGAGGUGUAAUAAUACCCAUAAAACCUAGUGGUCAAACGGAAAUAAUUCUAAUAGUGUUUUUUCCAACCAUUAGAUUUUUUUCCCCAUAGGUGAUUUUUAGAAACACUUAAAAUAAGGGCUGUGUUUUGUGUAGGCUUUACCCCGAUGUGAUGUGUUGAUAACCGUGUAGAUCUCUCUAGGACAAGGUGACUCAAUAUUAUUCGGCUCUCUUUUUACUCACAGAAUUGAAAAUACUUAAAAGUAGACAUCAUGCAAGACUACAAAUCCCUGCAUGCUUCUCCAUGUCAUCUCUAGCUGACAUCUUUGCUAACAGGUAUUGUGUCAAUUUAAAACGUGCACAAGACAGUUCACAGAAUUGUACAUUUUAAUUAAAGAAAUGUAGCUAAUUUAUUCAUUAAUCCAUUUAGCUAGCAUUAGAUUAGAAUCCAGAGAUUCUUACCUUUGCCUUGAUACGUCAGUCAUCAUGGUAUUUGUAGUUCUUUAUAAUAGCCACAUUAGCAGCUAAUUAGCAUUUCGUUUUGGUGGGAGAGUACAGGCAAACAUAAUAAGUCACCUUGUCCGGUAGAGAUUUGAGCGGUUAUCAAAACAUCACGUCAGGGUAGCCCACUGAGAUGACUGCAGGGAUUUGGGUCACGGCCAGGGUAAGCCUACACAGCCCAUGUUUUAAGUGUUCCUAAAAAUAAAUAAAAAACUGGGAGAAAUGGAUGAUGGGAAAAAAUUGGUGCCAUUUCCCUGUUUGACCACUAUGUUUUAUAGGCAUUAUGACUCAUACUGUGGUACAUUUUAUAGAGGGAAUAGUGGCAUUUUGGGAGGGAGCUUAAGACUUCUUUUUCAGGUGUUUGCCCUCUUCAAGAGGGCAAUUAACAGAGAUGACUGGUCAACAGUUUCCUAGAACAAAUCUGGGAUGCAGGAAGGUGAAAUUUACAUUAAAAAAAUGAUAAUCAAGUGUCCAAGUGGAACUAUGUGUAUGAUUUAUAAUUUGGGGGGGUGCUUAUAUUUUGUUCUCUUACACACAAGUGUGUAAUGAAAAUAUAUAUAUUUUGUUUGUUGCAUAUCUGACUCCCACUGAGACGACUGCAGGGAUUCAUUUGGGUCACGGCCAGGGUCGCCAUUGUACAAUGCCCCUGUAAAUAUGUCCAUUAGCUGGAGGAAUCAUCCAUAUUUUUUAAUGACUGCUGAAAUGCUUUUUAAGGCAUAGUAAAGGGAUAGGAGUUUUUCCCUUGACCUAAUGACAAGGAGAAACUGUCUGUGUCCCAAAUGGGCACUUAUAUACCCUAUAUAGUGCACUACUUUUGACCAGAGACCUAUUAGGUCCUGGUCAAAAAUGGCGAACCACAUAGGGAAUAGGGUGCCAUUUGCUCUAGUGUCUGUUUCCCUGUCAGGCCCUUUGGUCAGGAAGAACUCCUAGGCAUGGAUUUAAAAAAUAUAUAUAAUUAAAAUACAUUUUGAAAUGGGAUUUUUUUUUUGUCUUCUGGCCUAGAUUGUGUAAAUGUGUAUAACUGAGACAAAGGUGUCUGAAAAUCCCAAGCCACGCCUUAGUGCUUGGCUUUGUCAAAUAAAUGAUGCUAUCUAGGCUAUAAUUGUUUACAAUGCUACAUGUUUAUAAAGUGUUUUUUCAUAUGUCAUAACUGACCAGUCCUGAUGUAUUCUCUGGUCCUCUCAUUUCGCUCUCUUUCAUCAAUGUAUUUAUUUACACAACAAAUAUUUUUAUUCUUUUUUUUUUUGCUUAUGAUAACCCAUAUUAUACUGUGACUUGACAUUACCGACGGUAUGAAUGAGUGACUGAUACACUUCAACUGAACAUGACACACAAACAUGAACACAGAAACAAACAAAUGCAUUAACAAAUAUUAGAAAUGUAUAAAAAAAAUAAACUUGUCCAGUGGAAACUGUACAAAACAAAUCCCCGAGAAAUAAAAUGUUGCAACCC
ensembl:lncRNA